rnacentral:rRNA from 1 species
UAAUACGAGGGGGGCAAGCGUUGUCCGGAUUUAUUGGGCGUAAAGAGUUCGUAGGCGGGUUAGUCAGUCGAAAUUGAAAUCCCACGGCUUAACCGUGGAUCCGGUUUCGAUACUGCUAAUCUUGAGUGAGACAGAGGUAAGCGGAAUUCCUGGUGUAGCGGUGAAAUGCGUAGAUAUCAGGAGGAACACCGAAGGCGAAGGCAGCUUACUGGGUCUAUACUGACGCUGAGGAACGAAAGCGUGGGGAGCAAACAGGAUUAGAGACCCUGGUAGUCCACGCCGUAAACGAUGAGUACUUGGUGGUGGAGGAUUCGACCCCUUCACUGUCGUAGCUAACGCGUUAAGUACUCCGCCUGGGAACUACGACCGCAAGGUUG